rnacentral:sRNA from 2 species
UAUUUUAUUUAGACAUAUAGAAUAUAGAGAAAACGGGGGAGCCACAAUAGGAUCUAAAAAUUGAUCUUGGAGCCAAUAUCAAGUUUGAUUAGAUUAAGAUGACUCAGCCCAAACUCGACAGCUAACCUCGUAAUCUUGUUUGAGAAAAUAC